rnacentral:lncRNA from 1 species
GUAAGUUAGGCAGAGCCUCGGAAUGUGUUGUAAUGGGGGCCUGGAGCAGGAAUGAAGACUGUGAAAGGGUGGAUGUAGAGUUCUGGAUGCUAGGACACUGCUUCUGAAUAGUUUCCUCUUAUUUCAGAUGAGCUACAUCUUAUCCUUUAGGGCCCUGGUUGAACAGAAGGCCUCCCUGAGUGGGACCAGGACCCUGUGUUAGGUUCUGUGUUCACCUCCUAUUUUCCUCAUUGAUGGGUUAAUUUCCAGGGUAGAAGGAGCACCCUGGACAGUUGUCUGGCUGUGGUUUUCUAGCCAGCUCCCUCUACUUCUUGAGACAAUUAUGUGACUUAAACAUGUGGCUCCUAUGAUGUAUAUUCUCUAGGUCAUCCAGCCUCAAGAGAACAGACAGAAUUGAGGUUUCUAUCUGAAAAGUUAGACAGCAGUCAAACAUUAGGCAUUAGGUGACCUGUCCCUCCCUACCAGGCACAUGGGGCAUGACCUUGGACAUGAGCCCUGAGAGCUGUGCUCUGUGACAUCUGUUCUGAAGUAGAGUGUGGCCUUGUGACAUCUCAGAUACCUGAGAUCCCUCAGAGAGUCAGAGCCUCACAUUUCCCUGUGAAAUGAGCUAAAGGGAAAUGAUGGCAGGCAGCAGCCUGAUGAGGCAGAUUUGGACAUUAAGAAGUAUUUGUUGUCAGGCCAGGGAUUUAGCUCAGUGGUUCCACCGCCUGCCUUGAAAGCGCAAGGACCGGAGUUCAAUCCCUGGUGAUGCACAGUGAUUUGGUCCAUCAUUCCUUGGCAAAGUUAAAGAAAUUCAGUAAAUACUUUCAUUCCCUCAGAUCCAGAUGUGGUAAGAUGUUAAAAAGGAGCAGUUUUAUGGCAAGGUAAUGUUAUAGGUGGGGUUCCCUUACUUCCAUACUUGGUGUUUCAUUUAAUCCAGAUUUUUCCAUGACUGGUAUAUGUGGUUUUUUUUUUUUUUGGUACUGGGGAUUGAACUCGGGUCCUUGCGCUUGCAAGGCAGGCAGCAGAACCACUGAGCUAAAUCCCCAGCCCUGGUAUAUGUUGUUUGAUUCAUGUUGUUUUCUUAUUUUAAAAUAUUAUUGUUAUUAUUAUUAUUUUAUUUAUUAUAUUUAUUAUUUCAUUAUUAUUUUUGUAGUACGGGAUUGAACCCAGGGCCUUGUGCAUGCUAGGUGAGGACUACACCACUUGAGCUAUAUCCUCAAGCUACCCACCUUCUUUUUCCCUCAAGAUUAGAUCUUGCCAAGUUGUGCAAAAUGGCUCUGAACUUGUGAUCCUCUUGCCUCAG